rnacentral:rRNA from 1 species
AACGAACGCUGGCGGCAUGCCUAACACAUGCAAGUCGAACGAGACCUUCGGGUCUAGUGGCGCACGGGUGCGUAACGCGUGGGAAUCUGCCCUGGGGUGCGGAAUAACUCGGAGAAAUCCGUGCUAAUACCGCAUAAUGUCUUCGGACCAAAGAUUUAUCGCCCUGGGAUGAGCCCGCGUAGGAUUAGCUAGUUGGUGGGGUAAAGGCCUACCAAGGCGACGAUCCUUAGCUGGUCUGAGAGGAUGAUCAGCCACACUGGGACUGAGACACGGCCCAGACUCCUACGGGAGGCAGCAGUGGGGAAUAUUGGACAAUGGGCGAAAGCCUGAUCCAGCAAUGCCGCGUGAGUGAUGAAGGCCCUAGGGUUGUAAAGCUCUUUUACCCGGGAUGAUAAUGACAGUACCUGGUAAAGAAGUCCCGGCUAACUCCGUG